GGGGGUCGUACACGAUGCCCAUCUUGCUCUGGAUGUUGAAACUCAGCAGCACCCAGUGGUUGCCGUUCACGUGCUGUGGCACCAAGACAGUGGUGCUGGGGCCAAUCAGUUUGCACCACCGGGCGCCCAGGUCUUUGCGUUCCCAUCUGCUGUUCUGCGUUUGCAAGGCAAUUUGCAGUUUUGGAUUCAGCAAGUUGCACUUUUGCGUUCAGAAAACACAGCAGGGUGUACCAACAAAACAAAGCAAAGACAUUAAUAUUCAGUAUUCAUGUUGCUAGGUGCUUAACCGCACCUUCCUUUCACCUCCAUCAUCAACACCAAGAUAGCACACUACUCACCUGGGUGUCAUUGCUGUGAAAUGAUUCCAACAGCACAAACUUUGGAGCCGUGUCAGGCGGAGUUUGCAGGAGCACUUGAUCCUGGAUGUGCAGUUUGCAACAGAUACAUAUCUUCUUUAAAAGCUCAUGUGUUUGCAUGGGGUCAGACAGACAGAAUAUACAAAUCUGCGUGUUAUUUUAUCCUCUCUGAAACAGAUGGGAAAAUGCACAAGUCAUUUGCUGGCCUAGCAUAUGUCAGUACGCUGUCACGUCAAAUCGUGGUCAUUGCUGAAUCGUUGUCAAGUCAAGUGUGUGAGGUGUGACCUGUAUUUAAGUGGGGCUCUUUCCUUGGAUGCUCUCUCUUAAUCAACAUUCUGUUCCACCUUCCAUUGAGGUUUGGCGUUCUUUCUGUUAUCCCUGGCCUUGUGCCAGGGGUGUGUGCCCCAUUUGUCCCUGAUGUAACGCUAACCUGGUGAAGCUGGUCCGGUCCCACUGUGUCUGCCCCCAAGUCCCUCUCUAUGUGCUGCAGCCAAGCCAGCACUGCUCAGCAGCUCAGUAGCAGCAAGCAGAGUCAGUCAUCCCGCACAUCUCUAGCCAUCAGCAAAGCGGGAGAGCACAGUCCUUUGUGUGGAUGGCUUUUGCCACCUCUGGACUUAAAGCUUACCAAUGUCUUGCCUGCUUCAAGAACUAUUCAAAGUGCAAGAACAGUGAUUCAGCAUGACAACGCUGUGAAACACGAGCAGUGAAACAAUUGUACUUGCAGCAACCUGGUGACCACGGACCAUGCUGCACUAGACAAGUAGCUGGCAGUGCUGUCCUCUUCAGAGUGAAUGCGUUUCAACUCAGCGACAAAGAUGCACACGCCGCCACCCAACGUGGGCAGCUACUUGAAUUCGUUGUCGGGCAUGUCCUUGACAAAGUCCCAUGUCCAAACUUGCUGCUGCACCAUGUCCUGCAGAUGUGUGUAUGUCAAAGGGUACUUAAAAACAUUGAUUGAGUGGCAUUCACCAAGACAUCCACAAACAGCAGGCGUUUGUCAUGAUGGAUGCAAGACGCACUGCUGUGCGUGCCUUCAUCAUGAGCCCUUUAUGAGCCCAUGGAUGGUCCAAAAAAAAAGAAAUACUCAAAAACAGUCUCAACAGAAACAUACUCCAAAUCAAAUACCCCACCUGCUCAAGCAGCAUCUGUGUGUUGUCCUCUGGAUCACCAGACAGGUGGAUGCUCC
rnacentral:lncRNA from 1 species